AAUAAAUGCGAGUGAAAUUUAUCAUUUGAAGUUAAAAUGUAUUUUAUUAAUUUAUAGUUAAAUUUAUUAGGUUAAAUUUUAAAUUUAAAAAAUUAUUAGUUAAAAGAUUAUUUGAAGCUUGGAAAUUUUUAAAAUAAACUAGGAUUAGAUACCCUAUUAUAGAAAAUGUAAAUUUAAAAAAUAGAGUAGUAUUAGUUAUGUUCUUAAAACUUAAUAAAUUUGGCGGUAUUUUAAUCUAUUCAGAGGAACUUGUUUUAUAAUUGAUAAUCCUCAUUAAAUCUUACUUGGCUUAUUUAGUUUGUAUACCAUCGUCAUAAGAAUCUCUUAAAAAAGAAAUAAUUUUCUUGAUAGUUUAUUAACUAGUAUGUCAGAUCAAGGUGCAGCUUAUGGUCAAGGAAAAAUGAGUUACAAUAAAAUUAUUUAAACGGAUUUUUACUUGAAAUAGUAGGAUAAAGGUGGAUUUGAUAGUAAAAUAAGUAAAUAAACUUAUUUGAUUUUAGUUCUAAAAUAUGCACAUAUCGCCCGUCGCUCUCGUUAUUUAAAAUGAG
rnacentral:rRNA from 1 species